rnacentral:misc_RNA from 1 species
UAAUAAGUGUUUUAUGGCACUUUUUAAAUCCAUAUCCACCUUGUGUGCAAUGUCAGUCGAUCUUCUUCAUGGAGAUCGACCAAACAUCAACCUUUAUCUUUUAACUCUUGUGUCUGAAAAUAAUUAUGAAUAAACAAUUCAAAAUA